GGAUUGAACGCUGGCGGCAGGCCUAAUACAUGCAAGUCGAACGAACUCUUCGGAGUUAGUGGCGCACGGGUGCGUAACGCGUGGGAAUCUGCCCCUUGGUUCGGAAUAACAGUUGGAAACGACUGCUAAUACCGGAUGAUGACGAGAGUCCAAAGAUUUAUACGCCAAGGGAUGAGCCCGCGUAGGAUUAGCUAGUUGGUGAGGUAAAGGCUCACCAAGGCAACGAUCCUUAGCUAGGUCUGAGAGGAUGAUCAGCCACACUGGGACUGAGACACGGCCCAGACUCCGUACGGAGCAGCAGUAGGGAAUAUUGGACAAUGGGACGAAAGCCGUUAGAUCC
rnacentral:rRNA from 1 species